GGAUCAAGACCUACAUCCCAAGCACCAAGGUGCGUGGUUGAUAUGGAUCGCGAUCCCGAUCCGGAGCUCCAGGGCGCCGAGGAUUUCGAUCACGAUCCCGAUCUGAAGCACCGAGUAGCCGAGGAUAUGGAUCAAGACCCCGGUCCGAAGCGACAAGGAGGCAAGGAUUUGGAUCACCACUCCGAUCAAAGGCACCAAGGCGUCGAGGGAUUGGAUUGAGAUCCCGAUCCCAAUCAUGAUGUUGCCUAUGUAAUUUCCUGUUUUCCACACCGUUCAGGGCAUUUUGGUGGUCGUAUCGGCUUUUAGUUGCUUGCUUGGUGUUAGUGCCAAGGGAGUGGUUGGAAGCUAGGUCGUCCUCUGGAAUGCUUGUUGUAAAGGUGUAUGAGUUGUGUUUGGCUUGUUACGGGUGUUUGUUGGCUGCUUGUGCAGGAACUUUCAUGCGUCCAAGCCUCUUCAGUUGUGCUACAAGGCCUUGUUUGUCUUGUGCAUACGGUGGGUUUCCUGUGUUGCAUACCUAACCAAGGGCAUCGUAUGGCUUGAUCGAAGUAAAUAUUCGUAAUGCGCCGCUUGUGGCGUUGCACGAACCUCGAAGUGGUCUCUGUGGCCCAUGUUGUCUUUGCUCACGCAUGGAUGGCAUGGCCCUCGGAGCGUCGCUUGGUCUCUUGGAUACGGAACCUGAUGAUGUGGGCGGUAGGGUCUUGGAUGAUUCUACCUUCGCCUUCCAUGAGCGUUCUCGCUUCUCUAAACGACCGUCUGUCAUGCGCCGGCAUGUCCGUGCAUGGUGGGCUUAGUCGAAGAGGAAUGCUAC
rnacentral:misc_RNA from 1 species